AGCGAACGUUGGCGGCGCGCCUAACACAUGCAAGUCGAUCGCGAAAGGACUUCGGUCCGAGUAGAGUGGCGCACGGGUGAGUAACACGUGAGUAAUCUGCCCUUAAGCUUGGGAUAACAUGCCGAAAGGCGUGCUAAUACCGAAUGAGACCACGUCCUCUGUGGAGGAUGUGAGAAAAGAUGGGGAUCCGAGAGGACCUAUCACUUGAGGAUGAGCUCGCGGCCUAUCAGCUAGUUGGCGGGUAAUGGCCCACCAAGGCGAAGACGGGUAGCUGGUCUGAGAGGAUGAUCAGCCACACUGGAACUGAGACACGGUCCAGACUUCUACGGAAGCAGCAGUGGGGAAUUUGCGCAAUGGGCGAAAGCCUGACGCAGCGACGCCGCGUGUGCGAUGAAGGCCUUUGGGUCGUAAAGCACUGUCGGUCGGGACGAAAUCUCAUACGAUAACACCGUAUGAGUUUGACGGUACCGGCAAAGGAGACG
rnacentral:rRNA from 1 species